UACGUAGGGUGCAAGCGUUGUCCGGAAUUAUUGGGCGUAAAGAGCUCGUAGGCGGUUUGUCGCGUCUGCUGUGAAAACCCGAGGCUCAACCUCGGGCCUGCAGUGGGUACGGGCAGACUAGAGUGCGGUAGGGGAGAUUGGAAUUCCUGGUGUAGCGGUGGAAUGCGCAGAUAUCAGGAGGAACACCGGUGGCGAAGGCGGUCUGCUGGGCGGUGAACUCGCAAGAGUUCAAUAGCCGACACUGAGGCGCGACAGCGUGGGGAGCAAACAGG
rnacentral:rRNA from 1 species